rnacentral:rRNA from 1 species
GUGGGGAAUAUUGGACAAUGGGCGAAAGCCUGAUCCAGCCAUGCCGCGUGUGUGAAGAAGGUCUUCGGAUUGUAAAGCACUUUAAGUUGGGAGGAAGGGCAGUAAGUUAAUACCUUGCUGUUUUGACGUUACCGACAGAAUAAGCACCGGCUAACUUCGUGUCAGCAGCCGCGGUAAUACGAAGGGUGCAAGCGUUAAUCGGAAUUACUGGGCGUAAAGCGCGCGUAGGUGGUUUUGUAAGUUGGAGGUGAAAUCCCCGGGCUCAACCUGGGAACUGCCUCCAAAACUGCAUGACUAGAGUACGGUAGAGGGUAGUGGAAUUUCCUGUGUAGCGGUGAAAUGCGUAGAUAUAGGAAGGAACACCAGUGGCGAAGGCGACUACCUGGACUGAUACUGACACUGAGGUGCGAAAGCGUGGGGAGCAAACAGGAUUAGAUACCCCGGUAGUCC